CCACACUCUAAUUGCAAGAACAUGUGAAUAUCGGAGACCACAGCUGCUUUCGUUCUCCAAUAGCGUGGGCUCAGCUUUGGUAGAGUUUGAAUAGAAUUUGACCAUUAUUGCUUCUCAGUGUUCUGACAGUAGCAUGGAUGGCCUUGGCCUGCAGUGAGCUGAACAUCACAGUGGGGAAUCAAGGAGGUGCGGAAUUUCCACCGAGAAAAGGUGCCUUUGAUCCGGGUUGAAGCCACUGACCUUAGGUCCUUUCCAGUGUUGGGUGUCUAUGAUGCUCAUGACUUGCUUUCCCCACCUUGCCCCUUGGCUUCUGACCUCUGAACUCUGGCUUUCCCACUUGCAUCUCUCAGCCUGUGGUGUGUAUUGGUGUCCCCAAGGUCUGUACGGUCCUGACCACAUUGCCAAGCUGCCUGCACAGGAUAUGUGAGUUCUGGAGAGAAGGAUUUCUGCGAGGGUAAUGUUUCUUGUCUCAUCCCAGGUGAUAAAUAACCCUGAAAGAGCACUUUUUGCUUGAGUCCUAGCUGUGAUGACUACAUGACCUGGGCUUGUUGCAGGUUGAUGAGAUCAUACAAAAAUGACGAAUCUUUGCUUGGAAGCUGCCUGCCCUACAGAAACCUAGCAGCGUGCUGGAAGCACAGAUUUCCCUUUUCCUGGGAAAGGAUCUCGUUAUCCACCAAAAGGCGUCUUCAUGCUGACAUAUGAGAAAAAAACAAACAAGAAGUUGCUUUAUGUCAUAUAGUAAAGUCUAGGACUUUGACAAAGUUCUAGAACUAGAAAUAUGAGACACCUCUGAGAUCAUCUGAAUGGUCCUUCUAUCCGUCCAGCCAUUCAACCAAUGAACUUCUCUUAAGGGUCUUUUGUGCUGUUGUCUUUACUAGAUGAUGGAGAUUCAAAGAUGAAAAUUCCCCAUUUCCUGUUUUGGAAACUUACAAUGUAGCAGGGAGAGAAAUGUGACUAACAAUUACACUGACUUGAUAAGAACUUUAACAGAGACAUGUAGGUUCUAUGGGAACAGAGAAGAAAGCAGUUGACUUUGCAGGGAAGGCAUCCUGCAUGGAGGUAAGUUUGCACUAACCUUUGUGGGAUGAGUAAGAGUUUGUUAGGUGGCCUGGCAGAAGCGAGAGAGGCAGUUUAGGAUAAUGGCACAGUUACGUGGGAGACUAUGUGGAGAUGAGAGAAAAAGCCUUCACCUCACAUAUAAGCUAAAAAUAGAGGCAGAGAAAGUAGAAACAAUGGCCAUCUCAGAAAAACAUUUGGGAUGUGGGCAUCUUUAGGAAACCUCCUACGCAGAGACAUCCGUGGAAAUGGGGUCAAUCAAAUAACUGUCUUGAAACAACCAAAAACAUCCAAGGACCUACCUAUCUAACUUGCCCUAUCUUGCUGCACAUCAGUUUGAUCCUCCAAGAUGGUUGCUGGCAUCAAGAAGAAAAUGGAAAGUCACAAGCAGGGGAGGACCGGGAAGCAUAGAAUUUUCUCAAAUACAUUCUUCAGUGGAGGCGCCUUACAGGUAUGGCCGCAGCCAUCUAUACCUGAGUAACAGAAAGAGACACCACAGCCUGAGAGAAGGAGGAGACCGAGAGGCGAGCUGCAGCAAGCAGGGCUCGUGAGCCGCAGGUGCCCACGCCAUCUGUUUGCAGUGCUAGUGACCCAUCCAAAGGUCCAAGUGCCUUUCGACUGAGCCUACCUUACAUACCACAAAAGGCUUAUUUCAACGGGGUCCAAAGAUUGUCGUGAGGGGAAAUAGGCUCCAUUUGGUUAGGGUGGCAAUAGAACAGAGAGCUCACCACCCACUCCAGACCUCAAGGAAACUGACAAACCUAUGUCUCUCCAUCCAAGCUGUGGCACAGUGCCAAUGAAGCCAAAAUGAGGAGUUUACAGUUCCAGGAGGGGUCACAUGUCUCUCAUGAAGAAAGAGUGACUGGAUUUCCUUUCUCCUCAGCAUUUAUCCCUGCCUAGACAGGCUUCCUUUUUUUUUUUUUUUUUUUUUUCUUUUCCCCGAAACAUUUGCUUUAGGUCAGCCAGAGAAAGGAGAGUUUUGCUCAGCUCAAGAUUUGGCAGAGACAACCAAUGUGGAAUGAAUCUGGGAGAUCCACAAUGUGGGGUCUGGAGUGGCCCGCCAAAGUUACUGGACUUUUUUUCCACACGAAGUCAGUGAGGACUCAAAGAGGAGAGAAUUGAGACUCAGAAAGAUUAGAUAACUUGAUCGAGGUCUCACGGGUUACAAGAGACAGACCUAGACUUGAACUCAACUCCAUGUGACCAAGAGAUUCCCUUAGUGAUGACAAGGAACUAAACGAAAUGAAACAAAUUAAGUGGCAGAACAUGCGAAGGGAGAAGACUCCCAGGUGUGGAAUCAUCUCCCAGUAACCGUCACCAGUGAAAUCAUUUGCAAUUGGAAAAGACAGGCUGCUGGAAGAGACAGGGCUGCCCUGGCACAGUUUCCAUGGGUCAGAAAUCCAAGCACAGCUUAUCUGGACCCUCUGCCUCAGGGUCUCUCACAGGCUGAAAACAAGGUACUGGCCUGGGCUGGGGUCUCAUCUGAAAGUUCACCCAGAGAAGGACUGGCUUCCAAGCUCAUGUGGUUGUUGGAAGAACUUAUUUCUGGAGGAUUGUUGGACUGAUGGUCUUGGUUCCUAUCUUGUUGUUGGUAAGAGGUCAUCCUCAUGACCUUGCCAUGUGGCCUUACCAUUUGGACAGCUCACAACAGGGCAGCUCGCUUCAUCAGAGUGAGAAAGCAAGUCAGAGAAAGAAUGCAAGACAGAAAUCACAAUAUUUUAUAACCCCAUCUUGGAAGUGGCAUGCUACCACUUUGUAUUGCGUUGGUUGCAAGCAUGUCCCCCAUCCUGCCCAUAUUCAGUGGGAGAGUAUCUCACAGGGAUGUGAGGGCCAGGAGGUGGGGAUCACUGGGGGACAUGUACGGGGCCACCUAGCACAGUCACUGUUUGCUGUUAGGGACUUAACUGAAGCAGAGGAAGAGCCAGAGCUCAAGGCAUUUCCAAACAAAGCGUUCAAGUCCUAGAUUUCUAAACUCUUCUCUGGCUUCCCCAUAGUCCACUCCCCUUUCGUGAGCCUUUUCUAUCUUCUGCAAGCACACCAAGUCUGCCCAGCCUUACAGCCUGUGGGCUGGCUCCUCUCACUAUCUAGAAAGCUCUUCCCUCAGCCCAACCUAGGCCCCUGCUGAAAUGUCACCUCUUCUCAGAGGCCUAAUCUGAAUACCUAUUGAGGACUUACUUAUUCAACUCCCACUAUGUAUUAGGCAUUGCAGCCCUUUGCCCCCAAAACCCAGAAUCCACAGCCUAAAGCAAUUCUCUAUGUAGUGAGAGAGAGAGAGACAAAUAGAUAACUAGCACUGAGCACACGCCAUCGCAGUUGACUAAAAGGCUGUCAGGGCAGGAUGCAGAAAUGCUGAAUUAGUCAACAGGGAGGUGUGACUUGGUUGGGAGAAACCCACUAAUUUGCCCAUAAGUUGAAGCCACACUCCCCAGCCUGGCACAAAAGCCCUUCACAACUGGUACCAUUUCAUCCCUCUUUCUUCUCACUAUAUAAUCCAGUCACAAAGAGAAAAAACAAGUCCGGUAAGGUGUCCAAGCUGGGCCUGAAGACACUCCCUGCCAUGUGCUGUUCCCUUGCUAAGAAUAUUCCUUCUUGUCUGUUGAACGCGAUCCUAAAAGAGUCCAGUCCAGUGCUCACCCUGCCUGAGCCAGCUGAGCUGCCAUAACAGAAUGCCACCGACUGGGUGGCCUGAGCAGACAUUCUCACAGUUCUGGGGACUGGGAGUCCGAGGGCAAGGCGCCAGCAGCUUCCAUUCUUGCUCGUGUAAAUGUGCAACCUCUGGCGGCUUGACUCUCAGCAGGAAUGUUUGCAGCACCUGGACGUCCUGUAGUUGGUGAGAAGUUCCAACAUGUCCACUCAGAAAUUAGAAACCUGACCACCCGACUCCUCAGCGUGUUUAGUGUGUUAAUGGUCUUUGAACCACGGUCUGAAUUGGAUACAUUCGUCUUCAAAAGAACUUAAAAUUCCAGCAUGAAAGUCCGGGAGGAAAACUGUCCUCGCAUUCAGAAGGCGAUGUCCCAAAGUGCGUUUUCUGUCUGGUUAGGAUCACUUCCUUGCUGUUCGGACACCCAGGCUGAUGCUUUUUCACCCCUCCACCCCUGCUCUAAAAGGAGCUGCUUCAUUGCCCAGGUUCUCUGUGAUCUUUAAGGCACAAACUCACAUUAUGAUCAUAUUUUAUAUGCAAUCUCCAAUGUGUUUGAGUGUAGUGGAGACAUAUCUUUCCUAAAGCUUUAAAAUAAAAUUUAAUGUCUUAGAAA